rnacentral:rRNA from 1 species
AUUGAACGCUGGCGGCAGGCCUAACACAUGCAAGUCGAGCGAGCGGCGGACGGGUGAGUAAUGUAUGGGGAUCCGCCCGAUCGAGGGGGAUAACUACUGGAAACGGUGGCUAAUACCGCAUACUAUCGGAUGAACCCAUAUGGGAUUAGCUAGUUGGUGGGGUAAAGGCUCACCUAGGGGACGAUCUCUCGCUGGUCUGAGAGGAUGAACAGCAAAACUGGGACGGAGACACGGCCCAGACUCCUACGGGAGGCAGCAUGGGGGAAUAUUCGACAAUGGGCGAAGGCCUGAUGCAGCCAGGCCGCGGAUAUGAAGAGGGCCUUGGGGUUGUAAAGUACGUUCAGCGGGGAGGCGUUACCCGCAGAGGAAGCACCGGCUAACCCCGUGCCAGCAGCCGCGGUAAUUC